CACAAACCUGCUAUCGCCAAAACACCUUAGGAUUCAUUCCUCGACCAAUUCUAGGGCUUUUUGAGAGAGAGAGAGAGAGAGAGAGAGAGAGAGAGAGAGAGAGAGAGAGAGAGAUGGGAGGGCAUGGAGAGAGCACGACGUUCAAGGGCAUCGCGGUUCAUCACCCUAAGCGGUGGCAAGUGCUCACUGGCAGAGGCUUGUGUGCCGUCAUGUGGUUUUGGGUACUGUAUAGGGCUAAGCAAGAUGGACCAGUAGUAUUGGGUUGGAGGCAUCCUUGGGAAGGACAUGAUGAUCAUUCAUCGGGUCACGGACAUUAGGUGUAUGUUCUAUUCUCAUCCUCCUUUCCAGUUCCCUCUAUUUGACAACCAGCAUCCUGACCAGUAGCCAAAAGGGAAAAAACAUGAAGUGCUCUGUUCAUUGGUUUUUAGUGCAGAUGCUUUCUGGAACGUCUUUGUUGAUUUCUGUUUCAAUAAAUGAAGAAUUCUGCGAAAGGAAUUUGCAGUUGGGCCUUAUGUUAUGAAUUCUGAGCUCCAUUUGGAGCGUAAUUUGUUAUGCUUGUGCUUGAUUACCUUAUGUAGACACAUUGUGAAGCUGGAGGCUGUUGAAUUUGCAUCUAUAUCAUUCGGUGGUUAUCAUCUAUCAGAAAUUUAUCCUUAUCCAAAA